rnacentral:tRNA from 1 species
GUAAAUAGAGUAUUAUAGUAUAACUUUCUUACAAAAAGUUGGUUCUCUUUUGAGAUAUUUACU